UACGUAGGGCGCAAGCGUUAUCCGGAAUUAUUGGGCGUAAAGAGCUCGUAGGCGGUUUGUCGCGUCUGCCGUGAAAGUCCGGGGCUCAACUCCGGAUCUGCGGUGGGUACGGGCAGACUAGAGUGAUGUAGGGGAGACUGGAAUUCCUGGUGUAGCGGUGAAAUGCGUAGAUAUCAGGAGGAAUACCGAUGGCGAAGGCAGGUCUCUGGGCUAUAACUGACGCUCAUGCACGAAAGCGUGGGGAGCAAACAGG
rnacentral:rRNA from 1 species